UACGUAGGGUGCAAGCGUUAAUCGGAAUUACUGGGCGUAAAGCGUGCGCAGGCAGCUUUGCAAGACAGAUGUGAAAUCCCCGGGCUUAACCUGGGAACUGCAUUUGUGACUGCAUGGCUGGAGUGCGGCAGAGGGGGAUGGAAUUCCGCGGUGUAGCAGGUGAAAUGCGCAGAUAUCGGGAGGAAGACACCUAGUGGCGAAGG
rnacentral:rRNA from 1 species